rnacentral:tRNA from 1 species
GUCGUUGUAGUAUAGCGGUAAGUAUCCCCGCCUCUCAAGCGGGUGACCCGAGUUCGAUGGAUGGCAACGGCG